GACGGAGGAUGCAAGUGUUAUCCGGAAUCACUGGGCGUAAAGCGUCUGUAGGUGGUUUGAAAAGUCCACUGUUAAAAAUUGAGGCUUAACCUCAAAGAUGCCGUGGAAACUUUUCAAACUCGAGUAUGGUAGGGGUAGAGGGAAUUUCCAGUGGAGCGGUGAAAUGCGUAGAUAUUGGAAAGACCACCGAUGGCGAAGGCACUCUACUGGGCCAUUACUGACACUGAGAGACGAAAGCUAGGGGAGCAAAUGGG
rnacentral:rRNA from 1 species